rnacentral:misc_RNA from 1 species
GGAAAAAAAUUGUAUUUUCUGUGGCAUUUUGUUGGAUAUUUUUUUUUUUUAAUAUUUUAGUGCUUCAGUGUUGAUGAUGUGGACAAUUAGACUUAUUCAAUGAGCAUAUAAGAAAACUCAUCAAAUUGUUUCAGAGCAACGCCUGUAACUUUUAAUUGAACAUGAAGAUUUUGUCACAAAUGUUGUAGGCAUCUAACACCAAUUUUUGGAUGUGUUGAUUUUCUGAGAAUCUGUCUACAUCACCUCUAGCAAAUGCUUUAAGCUAUACAUAAUUAGUUUCCGUUCUCAAAUUUUUUUGGGGGCCAUCAUAUUAAAUCAUUUGAGUUGUCCUUUUCAUGUCAUCUAUUUAUGACAUACAGAUUUGAAGCAUUUUUAACUUGUUUUGCUGAUUAACAGGUAGUUUACAUGGCAAUUGU